UAUCACUCGAGGAGAUGGUGAUGGAGUACAAGAAGGUCCAGUUGGCUGUGUAUAUUGAGUGUUGAUUCCGUGGAGAUGGUUGAUUACUGAUGGGUGAAGGACUCCUAUUAAUUGCUGUCCCAGGUCUUUGAGAAGGUUCAACUGUAAUUUCUAUCUUCUUCAUGGAACCUUUGGAUAAACUAGAUGCUGUGUAUGGAAGAUAGGCUACUGAAUGGCUUCCCUGUUUCUGAUAGCUAGGAGGUCCUUGUUGAUAUGGAUGGGGUGGAGUAGUUGAAGGACUAGGUGGCAUAAA
ensembl:lncRNA TAB3-AS2 TAB3 antisense RNA 2